AGACCAAAAGGGUAGUUUUUGUAAAUUGAAUCUCAAAACCAUGGAAACACAAGCAGCAGAGCCACGUUUUCAUCGAAGACAACGAAAAAGAAGCAGAAGCAGCUCCCAAUUCACCGGCAUCGACGAGGAGGAUAAGGAGCAGCCGCAUCAGCACAAUGACCAGAUUCGGGACCCUAAAACCGUGACGCUGCCAGACGAUAUAAUCCACAACGAGAUCCUGACUCGCCUCCCUCCAAAACACAUACUCCGUUGCCGCCUCGUUUGUAAGUCCUGGAAUUCUCGCUUCUCCACACCCGAUUUCAUCAAUUCCCACCUUACCCGUCAACAAAAUUACCCACAAGAAGAAGAAAAUCUCGUUAUAAUUAACAAACUAAUUGUUCCCAACGGAAUACAAAUUCUCUCCCGCACUACUGCUAUUCCUCUGCGUAACGUACCCUAUAUUCGCCACUCCUUGCUGGGCUCCAUCAAUGGCUUAGUCGCUCUCUUGUCUUCAAGGAAAGAGAUUUUGUUUGUGGAAUCCCGCAGUCGCGCAGCUCAAGUUCUUUCCUAUGCCCCCGGCUCAUUAUCAUCCCACCAAGGAUCGGUGUAAUCACUUUCUUGGAGGGUUUGCGUGGGAUCAUGUGUUAAAUGAUUACAAGCUUUUGCUUUUCUGUUGUGACUCUGCCACUUCUGGUCCUUCCCAAAUUUGUGUUUACUCAUUUAAUUCCGCUAUUUGGACUACACUCCCUGUCCCUCCUUGUUCCGGGUUGCCUGUUGGACGGAUACUUAAAUCUAAUCUUAUUAUGCCUCCGUCCACGAUUGUCAAGGGAAUUCCUUAUUGGAGUUACGAGAAGUAUUUGCAAUUGGAUGGGAAGAGGCGUAGGCGUAAAUUGAUCUCCACCUUUAAGUUUGUGCCCCGGGUUAAUGAGUUCCGCGUCUUGCCUGAUUUCGAUGCUCUUAAAACUGGCAAAAAUAGAUUCCAUAUUGUCAAUAUCAAAGACGGUCUUUUUGGGAUGGCUUAUAAUGUGACCGGAGUAAAAUCUUUGGUGGAUAUCUACUCUUUGGACGAUGAGGAAUCUCAUUGUGGUGGUGUUUGGAGUAAGAUGUACACUGUCGGACCUGUGGAUAUUAGCUACGGAGGCAGGCAGCUUUCUCAGUGUUUUAAGAAUGGGGGUGAUAUUUUGAUUUAUGGGAAAAGGGGUCCAUUUAAUGUCUAUGAUCCGGAAACAGGAGAAACUAAGUUUGUUGAGUCGUCCGACUCUGGUUGCUUCAUGACGUGUUUCAAUUAUACGCCUAGUUUGGUCUGUGUUCCUGGGAUGGAAUUGAUGCAGGAGUCAUUUACAAAGGAGGAAGGAGUCCGUCCAGAUACUCCCUCGUUUUUUUAUUACAGGACGCUUUGACUUUUGACAAAUAUCUUGAGCUAUUUAUUUGACGAGUGAAGCCGGCAAUAUGGACGUGGCAAAGUGGAAGUGUAGAGGCUGAAGUCUGGUAAUAGGCUGAAGUCUGAACUGUGUCCGUAGUAUGGUGUAGGAGGACAGUCAAGGACUAAUUGUACAAGAAUCAGAAUACUGUGACCAGUUGCUUAUGAUCCAAUCAUUUUGCAUGGACCAAUGUGUGACCAUAUUGACUAUCAGAAUUCAGACCGAUCACUUGUCCGAUUUAGUGAUUCAGUUUGCUCAGAAAUAAAGAGAGAAAGUUCUCUCUGAAGAUUCUACUCUAUAAUCGAUUCUUCUAUACACAGGUUCCGGUUCAUCUAUUGACUUUUUAAAUCUGUACACAACUUCAUCAUAUAUGUAUAUUUAUGUUUUUCUGUUUUGUAUGAUACAGUUCGUAAUUUGAUUCUCUUUGUUGGAAUAUGUAUAAUUUGAGGCCUUAAUUGAUUCAGAUCGGUAGUGUUGAUGUAUGAUAAUUCUGCUUAGGCUAUGCAUAUUACACAUAUUUUGUAUAAAGCAAUGCAUAUAUAGAGGGAAGUAUAACAUACAAUUGCAGUUUAGUUUUGGUUUUGAUAUAAACGUUUACAGGCAUUUGAUGUGAAACUUGGAUGUGUGUUUGUUUCCAUGCUAGUGUUAUUUAGGAUCUGUAGAGACUUUGAACUUGAUGAUAUUGAUGACCGAAUUACAUCUAUAACUGUUUAAGAUGACUAAA